GACGAACGCUGGCGGCGUGCUUAACACAUGCAUGUCGAACGGAAAGGCCCUGCUUUUGUGGGGUGCUCGAGUGGCGAACGGGUGAGUAACACGUGAGUAACCUGCCCUUGACUUUGGGAUAACUUCAGGAAACUGGGGCUAAUACCGGAUAGGAGCUCCUGCUGCAUGGUGGGGGUUGGAAGGUUUCGGCGGUUGGGGAUGGACUCGCGGCUUAUCAGCUUGUUGGUGGGGUAGUGGCUUACCAAGGCUUUGACGGGUAGCCGGCCUGAGAGGGUGACCGGCCACAUUGGGACUGAGAUACGGCCCAGACUCCUACGGGAGGCAGCAGUGGGGAAUAUUGCACAAUGGGCGGAAGCCUGAUGCAGCAACGCCGCGUGCGGGAUGACGGCCUUCGGGUUGUAAACCGCUUUCGCCUGUGACGAAGCGUGAGUGACGGUAAUGGGUAAAGAAGCACCGGCUAACUACGUG
rnacentral:rRNA from 1 species